UGAAAUGGGAGUUGGUGCUUUGGGCUG
rnacentral:piRNA from 1 species